GGAGCCGGAGGGAAACCGAGUCUUAAUUGGGCGUUAAGUUGCAGGGUAUAGACCCGAAACCCGGUGAUCUAGCCAUGGGCAGGUUGAAGGUUGGGUAACACUAACUGGAGGACCGAACCGACUAAUGUUGAAAAAUUAGCGGAUGACCUGUGGCUGGGGGUGAAAGGCCAAUCAAACCGGGAGAUAGCUGGUUCUCCCCGAAAGCUAUUUAGGUAGCGCCUCGUGAAUUCAUCUCCGGGGGUAGAGCACUGUUUCGGCUAGGGGGCCAUCCCGGCUUACCAACCCGAUGCAAACUGCGAAUACCGGAGAAUGUUAUCACGGGAGACACACGGCGGGUGCUAACGUCCGUCGUGAAGAGGGAAACAACCCAGACCGCCAGCUAAGGUCCCAAAGUCAUGGUUAAGUGGGAAACGAUGUGGGAAGGCCCAGACAGCCAGGAUGUUGGCUUAGAAGCAGCCAUCAUUUAAAGAAAGCGUAAUAGCUCACUGGUCGAGUCGGCCUGCGCG
rnacentral:rRNA from 1 species